rnacentral:tRNA from 1 species
CGCUGGUGGUGAACGCGGAAAGCCCCGCUUCCCGUGCGGGAUGCGGGGCUUUGCUCGAUCCGAGUGGUCGGAUCACCCGUCGCCGGCGG